rnacentral:rRNA from 1 species
GCUAUACAUGCAAGUCGUACGCACUGGCCCAACUGAUUGAUGGUGCUUGCACCUGAUUGACGAUGGAUUACCAGUGAGUGGCGGACGGGUGAGUAACACGUAGGUAACCUGCCCCGGAGCGGGGGAUAACAUUUGGAAACAGAUGCUAAUACCGCAUAACAACAAAAGCCACAUGGCUUUUGUUUGAAAGAUGGCUUUGGCUAUCACUCUGGGAUGGACCUGCGGUGCAUUAGCUAGUUGGUAAGGUAACGGCUUACCAAGGCGAUGAUGCAUAGCCGAGUUGAGAGACUGAUCGGCCACAAUGGAACUGAGACACGGUCCAUACUCCUACGGGAGGCAGCAGUAGGGAAUCUUCCACAAUGGGCGCAAGCCUGAUGGAGCAACACCGCGUGAGUGAAGAAGGGUUUCGGCUCGUAAAGCUCUGUUGUUGGAGAAGAACGUGCGUGAGAGUAACUGUUCACGCAGUGACGGUAUCCAACCAGAAAGUCACGGCUAACUACGUGCCAGCAGCCGCGGUAAUACGUAGGUGGCAAGCGUUAUCCGGAUUUAUUGGGCGUAAAGCGAGCGCAGGCGGUUGCUUAGGUCUGAUGUGAAAGCCUUCGGCUUAACCGAAGAAGUGCAUCGGAAACCGGGCGACUUGAGUGCAGAAGAGGACAGUGGAACUCCAUGUGUAGCGGUGGAAUGCGUAGAUAUAUGGAAGAACACCAGUGGCGAAGGCGGCUGUCUGGUCUGCAACUGACGCUGAGGCUCGAAAGCAUGGGUAGCGAACAGGAUUAGAUACCCUGGUAGUCCAUGCCGUAAACGAUGAGUGCUAGGUGUUGGAGGGUUUCCGCCCUUCAGUGCCGGAGCUAACGCAUUAAGCACUCCGCCUGGGGAGUACGACCGCAAGGUUG